rnacentral:rRNA from 1 species
AUUGAACGCUGGCGGCAGGCCUAACACAUGCAAGUCGAACGAGUGGCGGACGGGUGAGUAAUGUCUGGGAAACUGCCUGAUGGAGGGGGAUAACUACUGGAACCGGUAGCUAAUACCGCAUACCAGCGGCUUUGCCCAGAUGUGAUGCGCUAGUAGGUGGGGUAACGGCUCACCUAGGCGACGAUCCCUAGCUGGUCGUAGAGGAUGACCAGCCACACUGGAACUGAGACACGGCCCAGACUCCUACGGGAGGCAGCAGUGGGGAAGAUUGCACAAUGGGCGCAAGCCUGAUGCAGCCAUGCCGCGUGUAUGAAGAAGGCCUUCGGGUUGUAAAGUACUUUCAGCGGGGAGGCGUUACCCGCAGAAGAAGCACCGGCUAACUCCGUGCCAGCAGCCGCGGUAAUUC